rnacentral:rRNA from 1 species
GACGUAGGGCGCGAGCGUUGUCCGGAUUUAUUGGGCGUAAAGAGCUCGUAGGCGGCUUGUCGCGUCGAAUGUGAAAACCCGAGGCUCAACUUCGGGCUUGCAUUCGAUACAGGCAGGCUCGAGUUCGGUAGGGGAGACUGGAAUUCCUGGUGUAGCGGUGAAAUGCGCAGAUAUCAGGAGGAACACCGGUGGCGAAGGCGGGUCUCUGGGCCGAUACUGACGCUGAGGAGCGAAAGCGUGGGGAGCGAACAGG